CAUCAUGUUGAAACACCAGUUCCCAUACAAUCACUGAGGUUAAGCAAUGUCAAGCCUGGUCAGUACCUAGAUGGGUGAUUACUUGGGAAUGCUAAGUGCCGUAA